rnacentral:rRNA from 1 species
UGCCACAGCCAUAUCACCCUACAGCCCAGGAUCGGUUACUCACUGAAGCUUAGCAGGGCUGAGCCUGGCUAUUACCUGAAUGGGAGACCACAUGGAAAAAACUAGGUUGCUGUUGGAA